rnacentral:rRNA from 1 species
AGAGUUUGAUCCUGGCUCAGGAUGAACGCUGGCUGUGUGCCUAAUACAUGCAUGUUGAACGAAGCUAAAAGUGCUUGCACUUUAAGACUUAGUAGCGAAUGGGUGAGUAACACGUACUUAACCUACCCCCAAGUUUGGGAUAACGUUUGGAAACGAACGCUAAUACCGAAUACGUAUUUUUAUCGCAUGAUAGAAAUAUAAAAGGAGCUUCGGCUUCGCUAGGGGAUGGGAGUGCGCUACAUUAGUUAGUUGGUAGGGUAAUGGCCUACCAAGACUAUGAUGUAUAGCGGGGCCGAGAGGCUGAUCCGCCACACUGGGACUGAGAUACGGCCCAGACUCCUACGGGAGGCAGCAGUAGGGAAUUUUCCACAAUGAACGAAAGUUUGAUGGAGCGACACAGCGUGCAGGAUGAAGGCCUUCGGAUCGUAAACUGCUGUUAUAAGGGAAGAAAAACUUUAGUAGGUAAUGACUAGAACUUGACGGUACCUUAUCAGAAAGCGACGGCUAACUAUGUGCCAGCAGCCGCGGUAAU